AUCUCCACAGUGGUUGUUUGUGACAACCUUGACUGGUUUUAUCAUUGUUCCUUGUUCUGCUGUCCCGGGAAGUCCUGCAGCCUUGACGUCUAAGGGCUCAGAGUUAAAGGUGCAGUCAUAGGAAGCCCUGGAGGACAUUUAGAAGAGCAAACUUCCUGUAAGUCCCUCAUGUGGCAAAUGCUGACCCCUCAAGAAUGGAGAAAGCCCCAGUGAACCCCUGGGUCACCAUCCAUCCAUCCGUCCAUCCUUUCCUUUAUCAAACCUUUAUCAAGUGUUCACAGUCUCAGGUACUUUGCUAGAGGCUCAGGGAACAAAAGUAAAACAACCUUGCUCUUAAGAAAAGUGCACAGGAAUAGAAGGAAGGAAGGAAGAGGGGAGGAAGAAGAAAGGAAGUCAAGGUGACAGCCAGUGGCCCAGCAGCAGCACCUAGAGGCUGCAUAGGGUCCAGGCGGGAGGUGGGCGGUGGAGGCACAGUGGCCAGUACCCUUUCCUGGCCUUUCCCUGUUCCUGCUGGACCCUGCGGCCCUUAACCAGAGCCUGCAGCCAUAUCUUCUGUGUCUAACGGGCCCGCUUAGUUGGGGGAGGGUUUGUCUUCCUGGCUUCCUGUCACAAAACUCUACACAGCAGUUCUUUAUCUUCCACUAACUGUUUUCGGGUCUGGUAUAGCAAAGUGUCUGCAGACAGAGAUAAGCUGUGUUUUCACAUUUUUGUCUCCAAAAUUAAUGAUCUACAACUACAGUGAAACCAUCAUCUCCGUCACCAGUGGGGCUCACAGGACAUUUUGAGUUAAAAAAAAUACAACACAAAACCUCAAUGGCAGAAAGUGCAGAUGGUUGUUUUCCCCCCUCUUCUUUCUAUGGCGUUUGCUUUUGUUUCAAAUAGACUCCUAAGGUAUUCUUGGUGGAGUGGCCUGGGAGGUUUUCCAGCCCAAAGCCUCAGUCUGACCAGUGCGUGGGUGGAGAUGUGUCUACAGGCUGGGUUGGGGUCUCUGCCUGGUCUCAGGCCUGGACUCUCUGCCCCCAGCCUGGUCUUCUAUCCUCAGUUGCCCACAAUUGGGUCCAAGUCCUGUGCAGAGGCUCCUGCCCAGGUCUGGAAGAGCUGGCUGCCGAGGCCUAGGCCGGCAUCUCAUCAGCACCAUGGACUCCAGACUGCUCCCUGCCUGGGACACUGCCUCCUGCCGCCUCCCUUCUGCUCUUCUCUGGACUCCCGGGGUGUCCAGGGGUCCCUGCAUGGGUGUCCUGCGGUCACAGCACGGAGAUGUCUGCAUCCCAGGGGUAGAAGAUCGUGCAAAUAAGCGAAAGCAGGCAAAGGCUACAUUCUAAACUUGCCUUCCAUCUCUAUGCUUUCAGUAAGGAGUGGAAGAAUCAUGAAUAAUAAAUAUGGA
rnacentral:lncRNA from 1 species